rnacentral:rRNA from 1 species
GCCUAUGGCCACACCAUCCUGAACAUGCUCUAUUUCAUCUCAUCUCAGAAGCUAAGCAGCCCUGGGCCCAGUUAGUACUUGGAUGGGAGACUGCUUGGAAAUACUGUGUCCAACUGUUU